GACGAACGCUGGCGGCGUGCUUAACACAUGCAAGUCGAACGGAAAGGCCCUUCGGGGUACUCGAGUGGCGGACGGGUGAGUAACACGUGGGUGAUCUGCCCUGCACUUUGGGAUAAGCCUGGGAAACUGGGUCUAAUACCGAAUAGGACCACGCGCUCCAUGGUGUGUGGUGGAAAGCUUUUGCGGUGUGGGAUGGGCCCGCGGCCUAUCAGCUUGUUGGUGGGGUAAUGGCCUACCAAGGCGACGACGGGUAGCCGGCCUGAGAGGGUGACCGGCCACACUGGGACUGAGAUACGGCCCAGACUCCUACGGGAGGCAGCAGUGGGGAAUAUUGCACAAUGGGCGCAAGCCUGAUGCAGCGACGCCGCGUGAGGGAUGACGGCCUUCGGGCUGUAAACCUCUUUCAAUAGGGACGAAGCGCAAGUGACGGUACCUAUAGAAGAAGCACCGGCCAACUACGUGCCAGCAGCCGCGGUAAUACGUAGGGUGCGAGCGUUGUCCGGAAUUACUGGGCGUAAAGAGCUCGUAGGUGGUUUGUCGCGUUGUUCGUGAAAACUCACAGCUUAACUGUGGGCGUGCGGGCGAUACGGGCAGACUAGAGUACUGCAGGGGAGACUGGAAUUCCUGGUGUAGCGGUGGAAUGCGCAGAUAUCAGGAGGAACACCGGUGGCGAAGGCGGGUCUCUGGGCAGUAACUGACGCUGAGGAGCGAAAGCAUGGGGAGCGAACAGGAUUAGAUACCCUGGUAGUCCACGCCGUAAACGGUGGGUACUAGGUGUGGGUUCCUUCCUUGGGAUCCGUGCCGUAGCUAACGCAUUAAGUACCCCGCCUGGGGAGUACGGCCGCAAGGCUAAAACUCAAAGGAAUUGACGGGGGCCCGCACAAGCGGCGGAGCAUGUGGAUUAAUUCGAUGCAACGCGAAGAACCUUACCUGGGUUUGGCAUGCACAGGACGCCGGCAGAGAUGUCGGUUCCCUUGUGGCCUGUGUGCAGGUGGUGCAUGGCUGUCGUCAGCUCGUGUCGUGAGAUGUUGGGUUAAGUCCCGCAACGAGCGCAACCCUUGUCCUAUGUUGCCAGCGGGUUAUGCCGGGGACUCGUAGGAGACUGCCGGGGUCAACUCGGAGGAAGGUGGGGAUGACGUCAAGUCAUCAUGCCCCUUAUGUCCAGGGCCUCACACAUGCUACAAUGGCCGGUACAAAGGGCUGCGAUGCCGUGAGGUGGAGCGAAUCCUUUCAAAGCCGGUCUCAGUUCGGAUCGGGGUCUGCAACUCGACCCCGUGAAGUCGGAGUCGCUAGUAAUCGCAGAUCAGCAACGCUGCGGUGAAUACGUUCCCGGGCCU
rnacentral:rRNA from 1 species